UCGUUUCAUCUUCUUUAUGUGCUUAUUGUGCUUCUGUUGCUCAUGAAACUUGCUCCUGGGUUCAUUUCUGGAGUGAAAGGGGCUACUUUCGGGUGCAUAGAGAGGGAGAGACAAGCCCUUCUCAAGUUUACAGAUGGCAUUAUUGAUGACUAUGGUCUUCUUUCAACCUGGGGAAGUGAAGAAGAGAAGAGGAAUUGCUGCACAUGGAGAGGAGUUGGAUGCAACAAUCGUACUGGUCAUGUUACUUCUCUUGAUCUGAGUGGCUUUAACCUUAGUCAGACGAUUGACUGGCUGCAAGUGCCUAACAGGCUCCCUCGCUUACAUGAAUUGCUGUUAAGUUCUUGUAGCCUUUCAAUUAUCGGUUCUCCAUCUCUUUCUCUUGUAAACCCAUCUAAAUCUCUUGCUAUCGUUGAUUUCUCUUUCAACGAUCUUUCCUCUUCAAUAUUCCAUUGGUUGGCCAACUUCGGUAACAGCCUUGUUGAUCUUGACCUCUCACAUAACCAAUUACAAGGUUCAAUUCCAGAUGCUUUCACCAACAUGACUUCUCUUAGGACCCUUAAUCUAUCCUCUAACCAAUUACAAGGCGAUUUGAGUUCAUUUGGGCAGAUGUGCAGUUUAAAUAAACUGUAUAUAAGCAGAAACAAUCUCACUGGAGAGCUGUCUCAGUUGUUUGGAUGCAUGGAGAACUCACUCGAAAUUCUACAACUAGAUGGAAAUAAGCUUCAUGGUUCAUUGCCUGACAUCACAAGAUUCACUUUCAUGAGAGAGCUGAAUCUCUCUUGGAAUCAACUGAAUGGAUCUUUACCAGAACGAUUUAGUCAACAUUCUGAACUUGUUUUGUUGCACUUGAAUGACAACCAACUCACUGGAUCACUUACGGAUGUUGCGAUGCUUUCAUCAUUGAGAGAGUUGGUGAUCAGUAACAAUCGAUUAGAUGGGAAUGUUUCUGAAAGUAUUGGAAGCCUAUUUCAGCUCGAGAAAUUGCAUGUUGGAGGGAAUUCCCUACAAGGUGUGAUGUCUGAAGCUCACUUUUCAAAUCUCUCCAAAUUAACGGUAUUGGAUCUAUCUGAUAACUCUCUAGUUUUGAAAUUUGAGUCUAAUUGGGCUCCAACUUUUCAAUUAGAUGACAUAUUUCUUUCGUCUUGUGAUUUGGGUCCUUCUUUCCCUCAAUGGCUUCGAAAUCAAAAUAAUUUCAUUAAUCUAGAUAUCUCGAACACUGGAAUUUCAGAUACAAUCCCUAAUUGGUUUUGGAACUUGUACAAUUCCAAGUUGGAAUUGUUAGACCUUUCUCACAACAAGAUGAGUGGAUUUUUGCCAAAUUUCUCAUUAAAAUAUUCCAAUCUCCACAGCAUAGAUUUGAGUUUCAACCAGUUUGAGGGUCCAUUACCACUUUUUUCAACAUAUACCGCAUCGACCUUGUUUCUCUCUAACAAUAAGUUUUCCGGUCCAGCUUCUUUUCGAUGUGAUAUUGGAAGUGGUAUCUUGAGGGUCCUUGACCUCUCAAAUAACCUGUUGACUGGAUGGAUUCCUGAUUGUUUAAGAGGUCUAGAUGUUCUGAAUUUGGCCAGCAACAACUUUUCAGGUAAAAUUCCCAGUUCCAUUGGAUCAAUGCGCAAUCUUCAAACAUUGAGUUUGCAUAAUAAUAGCUUUGUUGGAGAAUUACCUUUGUCUUUGAGGAAUUGUAGUUCUCUAGUAUUUUUAGACCUGAGCUCAAAUAAGUUGCGAGGACAAAUACCAGGUUGGAUAGGAGAAAGCAUGCCAUCUCUGAGAGUCCUUUCCCUACAAUCUAAUGGAUUCAAUGGAAGCAUACCGCCAAAUCUCUGUCACCUAUCAAAUAUUCUGAUCUUGGACCUAUCUCUAAACAAUAUCUCAGGAAUCAUUCCAAAGUGCCUUAAUAACCUCACUUCCAUGGUUCAAAAAACAGAGUCAGAAUAUUCCCUUGCAAAUAAUGCUGUUCUUAGUAGGUCUUACUGGACGCCCACUUACUGGAGCCCUGACCAGUCUACCACUUACGGGAUACUUCAAAGGUACCCUACCACUUACGGGAUGCGUGACAGGUCUUGCGGGUGCAUUGACAGCCCUUCCAGAUAUGUUGAAUAUCAGAAUGAGAUCAGGGUUGGAUGGAAAGGAAGAGCGGAUGAUUAUCGAAGCACACUAGGACUUUUGAGGAUCAUUGAUUUUUCAGGAAAUAAAUUACAAGGUGAAAUUCCAGAAGAAAUAACAGGACUCUUAUUGUUGCUUGCACUGAAUUUAUCCGGAAAUAAUUUGACUGGAGAAAUCCCUCAAAAGAUUGGGCAGUUGAACAAGUUGGAAUCACUUGAUUUGUCAGGAAACCAAUUAUCAGGAGUGAUUCCUAACACAAUGGCUGAUCUAAAUUUUCUGGCUUUCUUGAACCUCUCCAACAAUCACUUGUCGGGGAGGAUUCCGGUAAGCACUCAGCUGCAAGGCUUUAAUGCCUCACAAUUUACCGGUAACCUUGCAUUGUGCGGGCAGCCACUCUUACAGAAAUGCCCUGGAGAUGAGACGAAUCAAAGUCAACCUGCUAAUGAUGACAACCGAGGCAAAGAAGUCGUCGCUGAUGAAUUCAUGAAAUGGUUUUGUACUGCUAUGGGAAUUGGUUUUAGUGUAUUCUUUUGGGGAGUUUCAGGUGCUUUACUGCUAAAACGAUCCUGGAGACAUGCCUAUUUCCGGUUCUUGGAUGAAUCAUGGGACUGGCUCUAUGUGAAGGUAGCAGUGCGCAAGGCACGACUUCAACGAGAAUUUCAGAGGCUGCGAGAACACGUUCUUGCUUAGAAGUAUUGCAAGGUAAUAUGGUUAUUCACAUAUCUUUUCCAUUCUUUUUAUAUUGAAGACUAAUGGUUCAUUUUAUUCCAGGAGCUGCAGCUGGGUGCAUAACAGGUCCUCUUUGUCCAAUGAGUUCGUAUUGUUUGUGCACGUGUCUACUACUACUACUAGUUUGAAAUAUGGUUCCAUUGGAGAACUCUUUGUAAUACUGCUGCUGGGUUUUAUGUGAAACUAUGAAAGUGAUUAUGUAAUAUAUUAGGGAAUCUCAAAGUUGGUUUUAAUGUGAAUUUCAUUUGGAAUGUUUUUGCAAAUUUUUAGUUAUUUACUUAACAGUGUGAAGAUGGAACAUAUUCAUUCUGCACAUCAAAAAAUUAUGCCAGUACUUGCUUAUUUUGCUACAGAAUUUGAUUAAAAACACAUGUAAUUUACAUUUUUAUUUUAUCUGCUUUUGUUGAAUUAUUGGCAUUAAUUAAAUCAAGCAAUUAGCACGAAUUGAAAUUGAUGUUAAUUCAAACCUAUACAUAUAAUCACCGGAGGAAAUAAAAUUUCAGAGAAAUUUCUUCGAAAAUUAGUUCAAAAGGUAUAAAUGUGUCCAUGGUGAUUGUUGAAAAGUAUGCCCAUACAUAUAAGAAAGGAAGAAGAAAAAAUGGGGUUGAGUUACAGCCAUUGACGAGUUCCUGCACAUUGUGAGAAGAACAACGGUGCUUUCACUUUCUUCUUUGUUUUAGUCAUUUAAAUAUUUUUUCAGUCACUUAAUUUGUUUUUUCAUUUUGAUCUUUCCAUAUCGAGCUUAUAUGGAAUUGGAUUUAAUAAUUUAUUUUGGUUAAUUUAAUUUGUAUGAGUUUAUGGUAAUGUCAAAAAAGUAAUUCAGUGUUAAAUUAAUGUUUAAUUUGGCAAAACUAUAUUCAAUUUUAUUGAUUAAAACUUUAGGUGCCAAAAUUGAGGCUAAAAACAAUUAAGCCUCGUUUUCUUUUUCUUUUUUUUCAUUGUAGUUUAGGCAUGUUUUGAAGUUUUUGGGUCCCUCAAGUUUUAAUUUUUUCAGCUUUUAUCCCUUGUUUUAAGGUCUUUACAUUUUAGCUCAAAAAUUAAUUCCCUUGUUUUCAUUUGGUCCACAAUAGCCUCUGUUUGAGACGAGAGAAGGGAACAAAGGGGAAGGAAAAAUUUGAGAACAGAGGGGAAGGGAGUAGAGGAGAUGAGCUAACGGGAAUUUGGUGCAGGUAGAAGCCAUCGUUUGACAAAAGAAAGGACAGAAGAAGGGGCUGAGAAAGUUUUGUGUUAAUUACAGUGUCGGUAGGAGAGAGGAGAACAUGGAAAAGCAAUUGUAAAUUGCUUUUCAAAAACUGAGGUCGAACCUUAGUUUUUGAGUGGGACCAUAUGAAAUAAAACUGUGGUUCAGUUUAACCAAACAUUUCAAUAUUGCUGUUAUUUUUAUCGGCAGCCGCAGUGCCAAACGGGUACUUAAAGAAACAGUAAAUAGUUAGUAUAUUAUCAUGGGGUUGUGGAUGGGUUCGAUCAAAUUAUUUAUAAUUUAUAAACUGAAUAAAAAUAAUUAUACAUGCAGUUUUUCAAUGUAUCUUUGCAUAAAAAAAGUUUCUAAAAAGUUCCCAAAUACAUGUAAUUAAAUAAAUUAAGAAUUAUAUAUCUUAAUAAAUGAUAAAAAAAUAUUAUUAAUAUAUAAAAAUAAAACUAGAAAAUUUGAGGGCUAGAUACAGAUCAAAACAUUUAAUUUUGCAAGACAAUAUAUUUAUGCAAUUAUGUUUAUUGAAUUUAUUUAUUACAAAUAUUUUUUUAUUAAAUCAAACUAUAUUCAAAACAAGCACACAUAUUAUAUUGAUUAAAUAAAAUAAAAGUGAAAAAUACUAUGUAAGGCUACACGUAUUAGAAAUAUUAACUGAAAAUAAAUAUUUUUAAUUUUGAAAAAUAAAGUUCUUUAGUACAAAAGAUUAAAAAAAACUAUAGAUUAAUUAGAAUAAUCUUUUUAAAAAUUAAAUACGCAUAACACCUUUAAAAAAUAAUAUCUAAAAACAAUUAAAUAAGAAAAAAAAUCACAUAUGAGGGAUAUUAAUUAAAACAUAAAUUUAAAAAUUAUUUUUUUAAAAAAUAUAUUAAAAAACAUACCAGUAAAAAAAAGGAAUAUAAAAAAAUAACAACCUCAGUGUUGUGGCUUAACUCGUCAAACUUGUCAGUCGACCAUUAACUCAACCGGGUUAAUAAGUUUUUCCUUUUAAAUUUAUAUAAAACUUUAAAAAAAUAAAAAAAACAAAAAAAAAUGAGGGCUUAGAGCCAAGGCGAGCUAUAAUGAAGAGCCCAAGAGUGUUGACAAGCCUAGGCUUAUUUUAAUUUUUUAAAGGUCCUUCCUAAUUUUUUGAAAAGAACAAAUGAGCAGCAUGUCAGACAAUGUGUCGUCUACAAACCUGGAUUUCCACCACCAUUAUGGUGGUCAGAAAAUUAGGGCAAAAACAUUUUUUUUCAUAAAACCCAUUUUUUAGCCAUUUACACUCAAAAACACCUAACCAAUACCCUUAUAACAUCUAAAAACCAUCCUAUCAACUCUAAAUAUCCAAAAAAUAGCCAAAAACCCGAAAGCAAAUUGGUUUAGCUAUGGCUUUGCCGGCUUAGAUCUAUUUUUCAUGCAAUAUUAAAACUCCAAACAACCACCACGAAGUCCUUCUUAUCUUAAAAAAACUCGUGUGUCGUGACGUGCAUGAUGCCAAAUGACGGAUCUACUACUUGGAAUUGAAGGGGUUUAGGGUUUAAUCAUAAAGUUAUUAUUUGAAGGAGUCGACACCUAGUAUCAUGGUGACUAGAAAAUUUAUGGUAUGUGAGAACCUAAUUAAAGGGACUAGUUGUGCACGAGGAAAACAUGUCACCCCUAGUGCAUCAUACUUAAGGUAAGUUGCAUUCUUUAUUUAUUGUUUUUUUUCUAGGUUAUAUUUCUAUCAAUUAGUUUUAUCUAACGUUUAAAGCAAUUCUCCUUUCAUGAGGAAGUCUUUAUCUUAUUGGGUUAAAUCCUAACCGUUCUAAAAUCCAAAUUUGAUAUCACAUUUAUUUUGUAUUUUGUAUCUUUAACACUUGAAGGUAUACUUCAAAAAUAUAGUUUUAUACUCUAAAUAUUAAAGUCUACAACUAAAUCCUAACACUCUGGAUACGAAUUAAACAAAUUAAUUGCUGUGAGAUUUUUGGUAUUUUAUUCUAAUCCUAAAAUAUAAUCAUAAACUAAUUACAAUAUAUAUUUUGUAUUUUUAAAACAUAAUAAAAUGUUAUUUUAUCUUUUAGAAAAUAUGCAUGAAAAAAAAGCUUUUAGGAUUUGGCCAUAUGCUUGAAAAUAAAAUAUAUUUUUGGUUUUUUUUAAGAUUUUUUUUAUUUUUUUUAACUUUAAAUAAAACUAAGUAUUUUUAAUAUGGAGUUUGUAUUUGCUUAAUGUUUUCCUCCUUACUAUAUGUGCUGAAUUUAUAUUUCUGCUUAAACAACAUACAUAACAAAUGCAAUUAAAAAGAAAUAAAGUGGAACCAUGAAGGGUAUAGCUCAACUAGUCAGAUCUUAGGUUUUCUCUCUAGAGGUCACCAGUUCGAGUCUUACAAAUCUCAGGACCAUUGAAGGCUUACAUGAUCGUUAACUUCAGGAUCCACGAGAUCGAGUGCACACAAGCUGGCUCAGACAUCCAUGUUAAUAAAAAAAACAAAAAACAAAGUGGACAAGAAAAACCUGAAUAAUAGAUUUAACUUCCAAAUUAUAAAAAGAUCAAGUUGACUAUAAUGUCCCACUCCAGAAUAUAAGUUGACCAAGAUGACCAAAUUCUCAUUGCUCUCAAUUAUUACUUCCAUCUCAAUUAUUACUUCCAUACCCACUUCGAUAUUAUCUGUUUUACGUGAUCAUGCUGCUGAUAAAGCACGACAAGUCGUUUCAUCAUCUUUAUGUGCUUAUUGUGCUUCUGUUGCUCAUGAAACUUGCACCUGGGUUCAUUUCUGAAGUGAAAGGGGCUACUUUCGGGUGCAUAGAGAGGGAGAGACAAGCCCUUCUCAAGUUUAAAGAAGACCUUAUUGAUGGCUCUGGUCUUCUUUCAACCUGGGGAAGUGAAGAAGAGAAGAGGGAUUGCUGCAAAUGGAGAGGA
rnacentral:lncRNA from 1 species